UACAAGAUAAGCUAAUAAAGCUAUUGGGCUCAUGCCCCAGAGAUGUAGGUUACACCCCUCCUCUUGUUA
rnacentral:tRNA from 1 species